UACGUAGGGAGCAAGCGUUGUCCGGAAUCAUUGGGCGUAAAGCGCGCGUAGGUGGCUUCGUAAGUCCGUUGUGAAAGUCAAAGGCUCAACCUUUGAAUGCCGAUGGAUACUGCGGAGCUAGAGUACGGAAGAGGCGAGUGGAAUUCCUGGUGUAGCGGUGGAAUGCGCAGAUAUCAGGAGGAACACCGGUGGCGAAGGCGGGUCUCUGGGCCGGUACCGACGCUGAGGAGCGAAAGCGUGGGGAGCGAACAGG
rnacentral:rRNA from 1 species